UUUGAUCAUGGCUCAGAACGAACGCUGGCGGCAGGCUUAACACAUGCAAGUCGAACGCACUCUUCGGAGUGAGUGGCAGACGGGUGAGUAACGCGUGGGAAUCUACCCAGCUCUACGGAACAACAGUUGGAAACGACUGCUAAUACCGUAUACCGCUACGGGGGAAAGAUUUAUCGGAAUUGGAUGAGCCCGCGUAAGAUUAGCUAGUUGGUGGGGUAAUGGCCUACCAAGGCGACGAUCUUUAGCUGGUCUGAGAGGAUGAUCAGCCACACUGGGACUGAGACACGGCCCAGACUCCUACGGGAGGCAGCAGUGGGGAAUAUUGGACAAUGGGCGCAAGCCUGAUCCAGCCAUGCCGCGUGAGUGAUGAAGGCCUUAGGGUUGUAAAGCUCUUUCAGUAGGGAAGAUAAUGACGGUACCUACAGAAGAAGCCCCGGCUAACUUCGUGCCAGCAGCCGCGGUAAUACGAAGGGGGCUAGCGUUGUUCGGAUUUACUGGGCGUAAAGCGCACGUAGGCGGUUUGUUAAGUCAGAGGUGAAAUCCCGGAGCUCAACUCCGGAACUGCCUUUGAUACUGGCAAGCUAGAGUCCGGAAGAGGUAAGUGGAACUCCUAGUGUAGAGGUGGAAUUCGUAGAUAUUAGGAAGAACACCAGUGGCGAAGGCGGCUUACUGGUCCGGA
rnacentral:rRNA from 1 species